GCAAAUCCAGGAAAAGGGGCCCGAGAAGGUUUCAAAUGAACUACAACAAUGCGUAGGGAAGACAUGUACACUCAAGCUCAAAGUCAACAACAAAAGCUACAUACACUAGAGGAAAAAUCAUCAUGUACUUCCCUUCAAGUGCGGCUCAUUUAGUAAAUUGGCAGCACUUGAGAGGGAAAAAAAAUGCAUUUUUACAAGUGCGGGCUCAUUUUAGAAAAUUGGCAGCACUUGAGUUCAAGUGCGGGCUCAUUUUACAACUGAGCAGCACAAAAUAAUUCCCAAAAACAUUUUCUUUUCCCGCUUCUCUCUCCUUCAUGUUCUCUGUUUACAGCUUCACUCUCCAUAUCACUUGUCUCUGCGCUCUCUCUCGUCUCCAGUCCGCACAGCCGCCGACGAUUGUCCAGUUCGCACAGCCGCCCCCAUCACCGCCAAUGCUCUUCUCUCUCUUCCUCAUUCUUUGUUGCUGAUCUUAUCCUUCCUCCUCUUUCUAUUUGAUGUCGGUCUUCCUUCGAUGCUCUCCUCCUCCUGAUUUUCUUCUCUCUCUGUGCUGCUCUCAACGCCGGCACCUUGAAUUCCGCCGCUGCUUCCACUUCCCUUCCUCUGCCGCUAGUUGCUUCUCUCACAGGCAGAGAUGAAGAAUGGACCAGAAGCUUUGAGUCGUCCUAAUUUGAAGAAAUCGUCCAACUAUUCUUCUGAAUUCAAGUUGCUCAUAUCCUAAGUUGCUUCUGAAUGCCUUGUAGAGGAAGUAUGCAUUACUACCAAAAGCUUAAAAGGUCCGUGGGAGAUGCACGAAAGCCUGGUCUCAGUUCCAUAAUCGACUUGCAAAUGCUGACAAGGAAUACCUUGCACAACUCGGGAAGGCCUAAUGACUAUUUUAUUUGUGGCUGCAUGCUAAUGCUCUGAUUACUUGAUCCUUAUUUAAUGGCAUCAUGUUGGGAGGAUUAGUUCAGUUCUUUUGAUUAGGACACUGAGACAACUCCACAUUUCCAGUCUAUUGUUCAAGGAUUUAUAAUUCAUGUUUUUAGGUGAGUAAUGAAAAGUUCUCUUUAUUUUUUUUCAGUUCCUUCAGAAUUAGUUAUUUUUUUCACCUCAAACAGUCAGUUUACAUUUUUCAUUGAUUCAAUAAGUUUCAUAAUGAAACUACUGCAGGAAGUAUGGACUGUGGGUUGCAAGGAAUCCUACUCUUGUUAUGUGCUCCUCAAUUGCUUUACUUCUUAUUCUUUGCUUGGGUUUACUAUGUUUCAAGGUCGAGACUCGACCUGAGAUGGUCUAUUAGCAUCCGGUUCUCCCCUUUACAUCAGUUGUACAAAUGUUAAAUCCUGGACUAGUUUGUCAAGGAACCUGAAUAGAUGCAACAGCUUCGUACUCCACAUCAACGAAAGCUUUGUAUCUCUCAUGCUUAGGACAUAGCUAGGGGCUCUGCUUAGUAGAAAUUGAAGACAAAAUAAAAGGAUCCGGCCUUAAUUAGUAAAUGUUGUAGCCCAUAAUGGUGUAGAAUUAUGUGAAUUUUUGUGAUACUUGGCAUUCAUGUUUGCAAACUGAAGUUGAGUGGUUCACUAUUUUCAAGUUAUACAGUAAAUGAUAUUCAUGGAUAGUUGUGGAAUCAUGUGGUUCUAGUGCGUUCUAUUAAAGCUAAAACCAAAUUUUGUUCAUGUACUCUACGCUUCACAUGUUUUGUGUUUCUUAGGCUGCAUUCUGAUCUUUGUGUACUGUGUUUCUAUACUUACUGUGUUUCUAUACUGCUGUGCUGCAUUCUGAUAUGAUAAUAUUCUUCUUUUCUGAUCUGUACUGAUGCUUACUUAUCUGUAUUGAUAUUUUACUGAUCUGCACAGCUGCUACAUACUGCUCUGCAUGCUGAUCUGCACGGGUGCUGCAUCAUUAAGGUGCUUAAAUUAAGGUGUUUGUUCUCAUCCCAACUUUGAUCCUCAUAUUUUCAGAACUAGGAAUUCAACUAUGAAGAUUCUGUAUACAAGAGUUAACUGCUAUAAAGGUCUUCCAUGUUGAGACAGAGGAAAAAAUAACAACAAAACGACACGGGAAGGAGAAACUCAAAGAAAUAAAAAAAGGAGGGCCAGCCAAACAAAAAACACAAGAACAAUAGGUAAUGACUCGGAAAAACAUAUUAAAAUAACAAACCCAAAAUAAUAGCAACAGCCGUAGUGUUUAU